rnacentral:rRNA from 1 species
GGAAUAUUGGACAAUGGGCGCAAGCCUGAUCCAGCCAUGCCGCGUGUGUGAAGAAGGCCUUCGGGUUGUAAAGCUCUUUUGUACGGGAAGAAAAGCAUCCGGUUAAUACCCGGGUGUCAUGACGGUACCGUAAGAAUAAGCACCGGCUAACUUCGUGCCAGCAGCCGCGGUAAUACGAAGGGUGCAAGCGUUAAUCGGAAUUACUGGGCGUAAAGCGUGCGUAGGCGGUUCGUUAAGUCCGUUGUGAAAGCCCUGGGCUCAACCUGGGAAUGGCAGUGGAUACUGGCGGACUAGAGUCAGGUAGAGGGUGGCGGAAUUCCCGGUGUAGCGGUGAAAUGCGUAGAGAUCGGGAGGAACAUCCGUGGCGAAGGCGGCCACCUGGACCAUGACUGACGCUGAGGCACGAAAGCGUGGGGAGCAAAC